rnacentral:rRNA from 1 species
AUUGAACACUGGCGGCAGGCCUAACACAUGCAAGUCGAACGAGUGGCGGACGGGUGAGUAAUGUCUGGGAAACUGCCUGAUGGAGGGGGAUAACUACUGGAAAAGGUAGCUAAUACCGCAUACCAUCAGAUGUGCCCAGAUGGGAUUAGCUAGUAGGUGGGGUAACGGCUCACCUAGGCGACGAUCCCUAGCUGGUCUGAGAGGAUGACCAUCCCAACUGGAACUGAGACACGGUCCAGACUCCUACGAGAGGCAGCAGUGGGGAAUAUUGCACAAGGGGCGCAAGCCGGAUGCAGCCAUGCCGCGUGUGUGAAGAAGGCCGUCGAGUUGUAAAGCACUUUCAGCGGGGAUGCGUUCCCCGCAGAAGAAGCACCGGCUAACUCCGUGCCAGCAGCCGCGGUAAUUC